CUAUCACGUGCUAUUAGUUCAUCUACAAUUGUACAGUGCUUACGCUGGAUGGGCCGUGCACCGACGGUUCUUGCCGCGGUACCUGUACGAUGCCGCGGAACCUGUGACACGAAGGAGUGGUUGCCGAGUACGCCUAACAGGAAAGUCACGAUUUUGGUGAGCCAGAGGCAUCUCUACACCCCAUACGAACCUCCGGCACUUCCGCAACCUGACAACACGGCAAAGCGUCUGAUCUGCAUGCUGCGACAAGAAUAUACAUGCAGCAAGUUCAAGUGCGCAGACCUCAAAUUGAAGAGGGCAUAGGCUCCAUGCUGCAGAAAAUGGGGUCCAAGAGCGACUCCUCUUCCAAGGAAUCAAGUGGCGAGUAGAUAUUCUGACUCACUACUUCAUCGUUCGUUGUGCUGGGGCAUGCACUGUGACACACAAAGGUAGUGGAGACAAAAACACAUGACAAGUGAAGCGCAAACUGUCAACUGAGUUUGGUGAACAAGAAGGAAGAACCUAUACCCGAAGCCACUAUCAUCAGCUGGCUGCGGGUUAUAUGUGCUAAAAAGGUGGAGAUAAGAUAAUCAGAAUGAAUCAGAACUUACAAGGCGACCCACUUGAAUCAUAUCGAGCCGAUAAUAUGUUGGAAAUUGAGUGACUAUAAGUCAGAGCCACAGACGGCUCGCUCACGCAGGCUUCAGCACCAGCCACAACUGUGCAAAAUGAUUCCCAUAUCUCUCGUCACUUUGCGCUUGCUUCUGACGAGGAUUUCCGCACUGUGAAAAAAUGGUGUGCAACCGCAUCUCGUGCAGUACACAGCCAAGUUGCCUGUGCAUUUACUAGGCUGGGAGCAUAUCUGUGAUCCCAGUGCUUCAGAUUCCAGCACCAGUGCACAACAUAAGCGCAGUUGCAUGUGAGCGGUACUUUGUAAAUGACUCCCGCUUCGCACACAACAUGUCCCCAAUUUUUCAUGUGCGAAGAGGCAGUUUUUUAUAAGAUACCGCUCACAUUCAACCAUGCUUACGUAGGAUAAAAGUGCUGGUGCUUGAAUCAGUGUCUCGGGGAGCACAGAUAU